GUUGAAACUGUCACUACACCCUGAGAGUAGUACGCCACUGAUGUGGCCUGCUCCCACUGCUGCUAAGCCUGGAGUUAUGACAAGGUAGCAGAGCCAGAGGAGCGGGAAGGCCUGCCAUUGACAAGGGGAGAAACAACAACUGAACGCGAUGACACUUCAAGUCAAGGAUCAAGUUAAAGGAGCGGUGUCAGCCGGCUAGCUAACCUGUGGAGGGUUAGCUAAUCAAUGGCGCAGUAAAGAAUAUUGGAUUUCACCUCCAAAAUCUCAAAAGGACCUAAAAUAUCAAGAGGAAAAAAGGAAGAGACAGUGCCUGGUUGCAGCACGAGCCUGUCUGUGACACCUCAAUCUGCUGGAGCAGCUGACAGUGGAGCCAGAGGAACAUCGGCUUUAGCUGACGUUAAACAGCAUCUGUAACGAUAUCGCCCGCCACUGCUGGUGGAUUUGAGAAGCCAUCUCGGCCAAAAUCCGUAAACAUUUAAAACGACCAUUUCAGCCAGGCUGGUUUUCGAAGUGGCAGUGGCUGCACUAUGUCUCGGAUGAAAACUUUAUUUCCCGGCAUCUUCAAUUAAAAGAUGGCCGAGCGGUCUAAGGCGCUGC